AUCUAUUCCUUCUGAAUAUUUUUUUUUGCAAUACCACCUUACCCGCAGAGCUACAGCCUACUCUAGUCUAAGCAUAAAAGGAGCCUUCAAAUAUAUUUAUUGGGGUGGGGGUGGGAACUAGUGCAUUGUGUACAUUUCUAUUGCAGUAAAACCUAUAGGCUCUGAGGAGUGAAAGGUUUAAAAUAAAGAUUGGGAGCUGGAGCCUCAAUCAAUGUUUCUGCGCAGUGGGAGAUUGUCACAGCAGCUCUCCUUUACUUUUUUACCCUCCCCUCUCAGCAGCAACCACUGCAUUACCGCACGCUAACUCCUUGAUGCUAUAAAAGGCCAUGGAGCCUCAGCUGUGUUAUAGCUGCCAUGCCUUUGUGGCUGUGAGCAUUUGCUCAGUGGAUUAAACUAAAUUAACUCUGCACCUGUAUCUGACAAGUGCAGCUGUGUGUGAAAAUACAGAUCAUCUCUGACAGUGAGUUCCUAAAUUGUUCAUUCAUAUUCAAAGCCCCUGACACAUUAUAUAAUGGUAGCCACUGGACUAAAAAGUCCUUAACAUAUUAUGUCCUUAUCAUAAUUAUGUAAACAAAAAGAAGAAGAGACAAGACAAAGGUUUGGAUAAUCAAUAUGAAAAUACUUUUACUACUGUGACAAUGUAUGAGUUUUGCUUGUUAUGAGGGCAAACAUAAAAACAACAAAAAACUACUAAACAGUACUUGAUUGUAACAAAAGUCUUUGAUGCUUUUUUUUUUUUUUACCUUCAUUUUCCCCUCCUGAUCAUCAAAAAUGAGACAUCAAAUAAAAAAAGAAUAAAAUUAGAUGUAGACCACAAAAAAGAAAGUUUUACAAUAUUACACAAUAUUACACACUGACCCAGACCAUAGCCCUCCCUCAAAUGCGCCUACCACAGAAGAAGAGAUAGGGGUCACAGCAUAUCCAUCAGACAGCCAGAUAUGUAGUAUGCCUGGCUGCAGAAUGACAGCAGUUCCCAACAAUAGAAACCAAAAUAGAUAAACAAACAUGCCCUGGAGGAUAAAACCACACUCAAAAUAGAAAUCAUUUCCUUGCAGCAAAGCUUAAUGGCUUGACAAACCCAUGCUCAUGACACUAAAACAGAACACUUUUUGAUCCGUACCAUUUGGGUCUGUUAAGGGAAUUCCUUAAAUAUAAAUAGUUAUCUUGGGCAGAUAUGGGAGAAAUAUGUACUAGAAUUGAUAUGACGGCAGACCAACAGGAUGAUGGAGACGUUUAGAUAAGUGUGGCUUGUGAUGGCACUGGCCUUCAAAGUGAGAUACGGUAGUGUUGUCUCCCCCCUGUAUGGCACUUCAGCUGUUGCAAGAAUUGCAGGUGCACCUAGCAUCUUGCAAAUUGCAUUUUGCUCCAGGGUCAAGUGUUUCUGGCUUUUAGCUUUAUGGUUGUGUGACUGACAGAGGUGCCUUUCUCAUUUCUAAACUCACACAACAUCAGAACAAACAUUUCAGUGACCACCUAGCAACAGAGCUAUUAAACUGAGCUAACAAAUCACUAAAGCCUCUAGAAGAACAUUUCAAGGGUCAAACAGAAAGGUUGUCCUCUAACAUUGUAUGUAUCUGACCACAUUUAGUGCUGCUCUCAAUGUAUUUGGACAGGCAGUAAACAAACACACCUUUUGAAAUCCAGAGGAAUUCUGAAAUGGAGAAUACUCUGUCAAAAAUAUUAACUGAGACCCUGGAGGAUCUACUGUGGAUAUGCUGCACUGAAUUCACAAGUUAGAUACUUUAUAGAUAUAUUUUAUCCAGGGGGACAGAUCAAGACAAGGCUCUGCUACGUGGAUAAACCUCUUAAUUAAGUGACGCUUGAAUGCUUUUUGUUUCCAGUGUUUUUUCUUCUGCCUGCAAAGUUUCAGAUAAAUUGAAGAAGCCUAUCCCAGAAUGUAAAUGUUACUCUGUUUAUUCACAGAGAUUAGAUUUUCUUCAAAAGGAUGGGAGAUCACUUAUUUCCUCAGUUUGUAUUAUAAACCUGUUGGUAACUAGGAAGCAAAACCAUUGAAAGCAUUGAAGUACUGUGGUUCUGAAUGACAUGGUCCUUUUUGACCAAGUUAGACCAAGACACUGACACAACAGUGGCACAGUGUGGCAGUGAUGCAGGUAGCACCUCCACUUAAAUCAGGUAUUAUGCCAUUAGAGAACCUUUUUCAAGGCAAAAAAUGUCACCACCAGAGAGCCAUUAAAUCCAGCCAUUAAAUUAUUCUUUUUUAUUGUUUGACCUAAGGACUGAGUACCUGGUUAUAGUUAUCUCCUCUUUAUCCUCUUGGAUCAUAAAUGCAGAGGAAAUCAGCUCUAUGCAUUUAUCUGAUUCAGCAAGUGUGUGUAAGCAUCAAUGUGUGUGUGUGUGUGUGUGUGUGUGUGUGUGUGUGUGUGUGUGUGUGUGUGUGUGUGUGUGUGUGUUUGUGUGUGUAUACAUGUUUGUUUGUGCAGUUGUACUGUACACUUGGUGAGCAAUUCACAGGAAAUCAAGUAUGGGAAAUAUGAAGCUCUUUUUUCAGAUUUUGUCAGGCUGUAAUUACCGUGCCAAUGUAUCUGUCACAGAUGGAGCUCAUUUGCUUAAAAAACAACAGUGAAGUAAGCCUAGGGUGUGGACUGAAAUGAAUGGAGGGUGGUGUCUGCUGGUCAGAUGAUGAGCCUUUUGGGGACCCAACAGCACUGAAACAUUUCAGAUUUAGUAUUUAGCUGCAGACACACCCUGAAACACACACACACACACUGCAGAGGGGUGGAGGGCUGAUGGGGGACAGUGUUCUGCGGCUGGUGUUGGCAUGGUAACUACAUGAAAAAAAAGACAGGGGUAUUGUGUGCUCUUCCUCCAUGUUUGGCGCUCCUUCUCUUUGUUUCACAUCACUGAUGUCCAGCUUCAUCUGUGGACAGACAGGACAGGACAGGAGACUCAGAUCAGUACAUUCACAUUCACAUCAACAGCAAUCAUUUAUAUGUGACAGACAGGAACAGCAAGGUAUCAGCCUAUACCAAUAUUCAUAAUUCAUUUUAAAGACAUGUUGUAUGAAUGUGCAGCAGUGGACAUUAUGAGAAGAUACAAAUCAGUGCUGGGCU
ensembl:lncRNA